rnacentral:tRNA from 1 species
UAUGCUUUAGUAUAUGAUGUACAUUAAUUUUUGACGUUAAGGGGGUCAGUUAAAUUCUGUCGGGCAUAA